rnacentral:lncRNA from 1 species
GUCCCCGGCGUCCGGGCGCCCUGCAUGGAUCCCCCACCCCAGCUCCUGCUCCCCGGCGGCGGCCGGUGGGCAGAAAGACCGAAACCCACUCACGGCCGCCUGCCGAAUCGCGGCUCUGCUGUUUGUGGGGCGUGCUAGAAACGUGGUCCUAAAAAGAAUGGCGUCCAUUUACAUAAUGCUUUGUUUGCGUUUCGCAAGUUUCUUUCGGUUAAAGCCACAGAAACCCCACCUCCUGCCCUUGUGUCGUUUCCACCGCGGCACCCUUUUCCGACAUUAGAAACAAUAGUGUACGCCUGUGGAGGCCUCGUUUGUUCAGGGGCUGCCGGCCAGGGCUUCAGGACGUUUCUGCGGCUUUCCCCGCGCGGCCUGGGCUCCCGCGGCUGCUUUUCGGGCCCAUGGGCGCAGCCACUGCGCCAGGCUCAAGGGGGGCGGCCCCGUCAGGGCCCGCCAUCUUGGAAGGCCUUUUUUGCCGGUUCUUCCCGCUGAGGAAGUGUCGCUCAAGACGCUGGCCUAUGAGUUGUGAUUUCUGCCUUUUCCCCUUCCUCCUUGGGCUAAGCCAGACCAGAAAGGGCCCCGUGCGCAACGUGCUUCACAAUCUCUCAGGGAAAGCGGCUAACGUGGCGCUACUCCGCCUCCCCUGUUCCUUACCCUUGGGGCGGCCGCCAUGUUUCCUGAACACAAAAUGGCGACACGUGGUUAGCAUUCGUCGCCAACGAGAAAUUGGGGUCGGCCCGAAAGCUCUAGAAUGCACCCCUCUUCCUCCCCGGGGCCUUCCACCUCCGCGAGUUUUAUGACUUAAAAAAGCCCACAGGCUGGUCUGAAGGUCGGAGGCCUAAUUUUAACGCGUUUUCCUCCCUUUAAUUUGAAACGGGAACGCGAAUGACUGUAAAAUGUGGGCACAAUAUUUAAUCUCUCGCCUUUUUAAAGCUUAAUAGUGGAUAAUAGGGGGGCAGUAUCAAGGGAUAAUUUGGGUCCCCACAGUACCAAAGCAUUUAGAAACCUCUGUUUAAUUUAAGGAAUGAGAUAAGUUACUGCUUUUCUAGACUUCCUAGCAUGGGCUGUUGUGCUGGAGAGAACGAGAGCUACGAAGAGACUACAGUGCCUCUGACUUUUUCAUAGGACAGUUGGCCGGUGAAUCUUAUUAAUAGUUUACCACAAUUAAGUGUUCAUUUUUAGUCUAGAAGGGACAGGCGUUUAUUGUGCAUUGGCCAGUGCCAGCACAUCCGAUGCAAGGCAGUUCACCGUAUUCUAUCUUUAAUUUUUACCAUGGUCCUCUGAGGUAGGUGUUCUUAUCUCUCUCUCUCUCUCUCUCUUUUAAACAGAGGAAGACAAACAUAAAGAUGAAGUGCUUAAUUCAAGGUCACACAAUGUCGGGGAUGGACCUCCAGAUUUCCUUACUGACCUGCAUUAUCUUGUGGAUACCUGAGUGAAUUCCACACCACCCAUUUUAUAGAUGAAACCACUGAGACAUGGAGCAAUUGACUGAGUAGUCACUGCCCCACCCCUGCCUGGAGCCUCACACAUGACUCGCCUCCUCUCAGUGACCACAGGUUGGUUGAGGGGUUUAACAAGGCUAAGAAGGUGAGACGUGGUCUUGUAACACAGUGGUUAAGAAUGUGACUUUGGAGCCAGCCUGCUAGGGGCUGAAUUCUGACUCAGCCAUUUACUAACUGUGUGACCUUAGUCUGUCUAGUGACUGGUGUUGUCAUAAGAAGAGAGGGACACAGAGGGAAGAUGGCCACAUGAAGAUGGAGGCAGAGAUUGCAGUUAUGCUGCUGCAAACUAAGGAAUGGCUCUGGCCCUCCAAGGAUUGCUGAUAACCACCAGAAACUAGAAGAGACAAGGAAGGAUUCUUCCCUAGAGCCUUCAGAGGGAGCAUGGCCCUACUGACACCUGGAUUUCAAACUUGUAGCUUCCUAAACUGCAAGAGAAUAAAUUUCUGUUGUUUUAAGCCA